UUUUAUCUCAUGGUUGGUCAGCCACAUUCUGAAUUUGAGAGGCAGCCUAGUGAUCUAAACCUGCAACUUUUCCUCCAAUUUCUAGGAGUAUUCCAGACUAGUGCAGAUAUAUUAAAGUUAGAUAUGCAUUAGCAUACAUUUUGAUCGUGGUUAGAAUAGCCUUGGUAUUUUGAGUAAACUAGAUUUCUGGAGUUCUUAGGCUUAGGUUUAAGUCUUGUUUUGAGUGUACAGGUGGAACAGGUCAGAUCUGUUGUACAUUGUGUAAGUAAUAGUGACCCUUGCUAAUUCAAUUGUAGAGUAGUGCUUAG
rnacentral:sRNA from 1 species